rnacentral:rRNA from 1 species
UAACCUGCCCAUAAGAGGGGGGAUAACAUCCGGAAACGGGUGCUAAUACCGCAUAGUUUUUCUUGGUCGCAUGAUCGGGAAAGGAAAGACGGCCUUUGUGCUGUCGCUUAUGGAUGGACCCGCGGCGUAUUAGUUAGUUGGUGAGGUAACGGCUCACCAAGACGAUGAUACGUAGCCGACCUGAGAGGGUGAUCGGCCACAUUGGGACUGAGACACGGCCCAAACUCCUACGGGAGGCAGCAGUAGGGAAUCUUCCGCAAUGGACGAAAGUCUGACGGAGCAACGCCGCGUGAGUGAAAAGUAAGGUUUUCGGAUACGUAAAACUCUGUUGUCAGAGAAGAACAAGUUGGAGAGUAACUACUCCAGCCUUGACGGUAUCUGACCAGAAAGCCACGGCUAACUACGUGCCAGCCGCUGC